UGACUUUAAAAGAAAACCAGUGAGAUAAAAUCAUAGAAAAUGUAUGAUGAUUCAGGAUGUGGUCAUUUGUGACAUUAAAACAGGAAUUGUCAUCACCAAUAGACGAAUUUCUCAUUCCUAAGAGUUUUCUCCAAUUGUCGGCGUAUCGCUCAUUUUUCCCACUUUGUCCUUUGUCCUGUUCUGUGGAUGCCCUAAGACAGUGUCUACCCAUCACUCCAUCUGAAAUCACUUGUUCUGUGCAUAUUUCUCUCUCAAACUUAAACUACAGAGAGCCUGUGGAUAGAGGAUGAAGAGUGACCUUGGACUAAUUUUCUAGGUCAAAGAUCAUAGGUGAUGUGAAGAAAACCAGGAAACUGAUGUUGAAAGAAGUACUUAAUGACCCUUAUGAAUGGACUUAAAUGUGAAAGACUGUUCCAUUGUUU